rnacentral:SRP_RNA from 1 species
UCACACCAGUCGGGGCAGUAGCGGCGCCCUAUAUCUGAAAUCCGCUAUAGCAGAGAUGGAUUCCGUUUCUGAGGGUCUGUACUGCAGUAGCUGUCAUGACGUAUUUGUGUUGAGGUUUCGGGCCUUGCGCAAUUACCCCUCAUGAACCAUGUCAGGCGGGGAACCGAGCAGCAUUAAGUGAUAAGGGUAAUGUGCCGCAGGAUAACCUGGGCUGAGCAAAUGCGUCAGAGGACGUACUUUGGUGCUCAUUCGAUUUUACGGUGUGUGA